GACGAACGCUGGCGGCGUGCUUAACACAUGCAAGUCGAGCGAGGCCCCUCCUUCGGGAGGGUGUCCUAGCGGCGAACGGGUGAGUAACACGUGGGCAACCUGCCCUCAGCUCUGGGAUAACUCCGGGAAACCGGGGCUAAUACCGGAUACGACCUCCACGGGCAUCUGCGGAGGUGGAAAGUUUUUCGGCUGAGGAUGGGCCCGCGGCCUAUCAGCUAGUUGGUGGGGUAGUGGCCCACCAAGGCGACGACGGGUAGCCGGCCUGAGAGGGCGACCGGCCACACUGGGACUGAGACACGGCCCAGACUCCUACGGGAGGCAGCAGUGGGGAAUAUUGCGCAAUGGGCGAAAGCCUGACGCAGCGACGCCGCGUGAGGGAAGAAGGCCUUCGGGUUGUAAACCUCUUUCAGCAGGGACGAAGCGAAAGUGACGGUACCUGCAGAAGAAGCACCGGCCAACUACGUG
rnacentral:rRNA from 1 species